rnacentral:rRNA from 1 species
GACGAACCGUGCGAACGUUGUUCGGAAUAACUGGGCUUAAAGGGCGCGUAGGCGGACUACCAAGUCAGGGGUGAAAUCCUGCGGCUCAACCGUAGAAGUGCCUUUGAUACUGGUGGUCUCGAGGGAGGUAGGGGCGUGCGGAACUUCCGGUGGAGCGGUGAAAUGCGUAGAUAUCGGAAGGAACACCGGUGGCGAAAGCAGCUUUCUGGGACGGUACUGACGCUGAGACGCGAAAGCGUGGGGAGCGAACAGG